rnacentral:rRNA from 1 species
UACGGAGGGGACUAGCGUUGUUCGGAAUUACUGGGCGUAAAGCGCACGUAGGCGGAUUUGUAAGUCAGGGGUGAAAUCCCGGGGCUCAACCUCGGAACUGCCUUUGAUACUGCAAAUCUCGAGUCCGGAAGAGGUGAGUGGAAUUCCUAGUGUAGAGGUGAAAUUCGUAGAUAUUAGGAAGGAAACACCAGUGGGCGAAGG